UUACACUCACGAGAAAAAGCAUUGAUUGUUGUUGGCAUCAAAAGAAUGUUAGAGGGUGUGAAACCUACAAGCAUAAUGUGGUUGGUCUUGAGAGAGCUCAUGAUUCCCUUUUUUUAUCAUUCCUAAAUGUAAAUGCAAAGUAUUUUGAGUUUGAUCUUUUAGAAGAUUACAUGAACAUUAAUGUUCAUUAACAAGAAGAUGAAUUUGAAGGAGAUGAAGGUGGUGGUUGUAAUGUCAAAGUUGAUGCGAUCAAUGUCCAAGAUUGGUUUGGACAAGAAAUUGAUUUCAAUGUCAAAUGGUGGUUGACUUUAAAUAGUAUUGAAGACUCAAAUCAAAUUAAAGGGUUCCACCAUUCAAUUGAGAGCUAAAUGACAUAUUGGGAGCCAAUUACCAUUUAACUCUGGAAUUAAUUUCUUGUUCGAACCAAUGUCGAACAUUGACUGCUACCACCUUGUCAUUAUGCCCAUCCCGUUUAUUUCCAUUAGGUUCAUCUUCUUGUUGAUGAAUGUUAAUGUUCGUAUAAUCUUGUAAGUGUUCAAGCUUAAAGUACUCCACACUUACAUUCAAGAAUGAUGGGAAAAGGAGAACCAUGAGUGCUCUUAAGAAUAACCA